rnacentral:rRNA from 1 species
UGCAAGUCGAACGGGGUGGCCGGCUUCGGGCUCGGUGCCUAGUGGCGAACGGGUGGCGUAACACGUGAGCAACCUGCCGGGUGGUGGGGGAGUAACCCAUGGAAACGUGGGCUAAUACCGCAUGAGUUCAGGCUAUCGAGUGAUGGCUUGAGGAAAGGUGCUUUCGGGCACUGCCAUCUGAGGGGCUCGCGGCGUAUCAGCUAGUUGGUGGGGUAACGGCUCACCAAGGCGACGACGCGUAGCCGAUCUGAGAGGAUGAUCGGCCACAUUGGGACUGAGAUACGGCCCAGACUCCUACGGGAGGCAGCAGUGGGGAAUCUUGCGCAAUGAGCGAAAGCCUGACGCAGCGACGCCGCGUGCGGGAGGAAGCCCUUCGGGUGUAAACCGCUGUCAGGGGGAAGAAGUGGCUGGGGAGGAAAUGCCCUGAUUUUGACGGUACCCCCAGAGGAAGCACCGGCUAACUCUGUGCCAGCCGCAGC